GACGAACCGAGCGAACGUUGUUCGGAAUAACUGGGCUUAAAGGGCGCGUAGGCGGGCCGCCAAGUUCGAGGUGAAAUCCUCCGGCUCAACCGGAGAACUGCCUCGAAUACUGGAGGCCUCGAGGCGGGUAGGGGCACGCGGAACUGUGGGUGGAGCGGUGAAAUGCGUUGAUAUCUACAGGAACUCCGGUGGCGAAAGCGGCGUGCUGGACCUUUUCUGACGCUGAGGCGCGAAAGCUAGGGGAGCAAACGGG
rnacentral:rRNA from 1 species